GACGAACGCUGGCGGCGUGCUUAACACAUGCAAGUCGAACGGAAAGGCCCUGCUUUUGUGGGGUGCUCGAGUGGCGAACGGGUGAGUAACACGUGAGUAACCUGCCCUUGACUUUGGGAUAACUUCAGGAAACUGGGGCUAAUACCGGAUAGGAGCUCCUGCUGCAUGGUGGGGGUUGGAAAGUUUCGGCGGUUGGGGAUGGACUCGCGGCUUAUCAGCUUGUUGGUGGGGUAGUGGCUUACCAAGGCUUUGACGGGUAGCCGGCCUGAGAGGGUGACCGGCCACAUUGGGACUGAGAUACGGCCCAGACUCCUACGGGAGGCAGCAGUGGGGAAUAUUGCACAAUGGGCGGAAGCCUGAUGCAGCAACGCCGCGUGCGGGAUGACGGCCUUCGGGUUGUAAACCGCUUUCGCCUGUGACGAAGCGUGAGUGACGGUAAUGGGUAAAGAAGCACCGGCUAACUACGUGCCAGCAGCCGCGGUGAUACGUAGGGUGCGAGCGUUGUCCGGAUUUAUUGGGCGUAAAGGGCUCGUAGGUGGUUGAUCGCGUCGGAAGUGUAAUCUUGGGGCUUAACCCUGAGCGUGCUUUCGAUACGGGUUGACUUGAGGAAGGUAGGGGAGAAUGGAAUUCCUGGUGGAGCGGUGGAAUGCGCAGAUAUCAGGAGGAACACCAGUGGCGAAGGCGGUUCUCUGGGCCUUUCCUGACGCUGAGGAGCGAAAGCGUGGGGAGCGAACAGGCUUAGAUACCCUGGUAGUCCACGCUGUAAACGGUGGGUACUAGGUGUGGGGUCCAUUCCACGGGUUCCGUGCCGUAGCUAACGCUUUAAGUACCCCGCCUGGGGAGUACGGCCGCAAGGCUAAAACUCAAAGGAAUUGACGGGGCCCCGCACAAGCGGCGGAGCAUGCGGAUUAAUUCGAUGCAACGCGUAGAACCUUACCUGGGUUUGACAUGGAUCGGGAGCGCUCAGAGAUGGGUGUGCCUCUUUUGGGGUCGGUUCACAGGUGGUGCAUGGCUGUCGUCAGCUCGUGUCGUGAGAUGUUGGGUUAAGUCCCGCAACGAGCGCAACCCUUGUUCACUGUUGCCAGCACGUUAUGGUGGGGACUCAGUGGAGACCGCCGGGGUCAACUCGGAGGAAGGUGGGGAUGACGUCAAGUCAUCGUGCCCCUUAUGUCCAGGGCUUCACGCAUGCUACAAUGGCUGGUACAGAGAGUGGCGAGCCUGUGAGGGUGAGCGAAUCUCGGAAAGCCGGUCUCAGUUCGGAUUGGGGUCUGCAACUCGACCUCAUGAAGUCGGAGUCGCUAGUAAUCGCAGAUCAGCAACGCUGCGGUGAAUACGUUCCCGGG
rnacentral:rRNA from 1 species